ACACACACAAGCAAGCUCUAUAUGAUUUAGCAACUGAAAGACAAAGCAUGUCUAUGGUAUGUUUUGCUAGUAGGAACACGGCAUAUGAAUUUUUUUUGAAAGGGCUAUGGAUUUAAUUAUGAGUGAAUUAUCCUGGUGGUUUAACAUGACAAAGCAACAGUAGGGUAAUAAAGAAACCAGUUUAAUUUUGACCAUUUGGGAUUCUUUCAAUGUGCACCUAAGUCUAACUACACGAGCAUAUUUAUGUCACCCUUUCAGAGUGUGGCUGUGGCAACUAUAAAAAUUCAGUCCUGGCAGUACAUGAUAGUAGCAGAGCACCGUAGCCUCUGAGCUGUCAUGGCAGGUUUGGUAGUUGGGAGGUUAAUGCAUAGAGUACAUUAUAAAACCCAAUGUCGCAAGCACUGCACAUUUUCAUUGCAGUUCUCCUCGGUUGAAAUCUCCAUGUUUCACGCUCUCAUUUUUUUUUUUCCAGAUACCGUAACCAUUCCACAAGCCAGCGGAAGAAAGACUAAAUAAAAGAAGCAAAGCAAACAUUUGCAGAGAUAACUUAAGAUCCUACA
rnacentral:lncRNA from 1 species